rnacentral:rRNA from 1 species
AUUGAACGCUGGCGGCAGGCCUAACACAUGCAAGUCGAACGGUAACAGGAAGAAGCUUGCUUCUUUGCUGACGAGUGGCGGACGGGUGAGUAAUGUCUGGGAAACUGCCUGAUGGAGGGGGAUAACUACUGGAAACGGUAGCUAAUACCGCAUAACGUCGCAAGACCAAAGAGGGGGACCUUCGGGCCUCUUGCCAUCGGAUGUGCCCAGAUGGGAUUAGCUAGGAGGUGGGGUAACGGCUCACCUGGGCGACGAUCCCUAGCUGGUCUGAGAGGAUGACCAGCCACGCUGGAACUGAGACACGGUCCAGACUCCUACGGGAGGCAGCAGUGGGGAAUAUUGCACAAUGGGCGCAAGCCUGAUGCAGCCAUGCCGCGUGUAUGAAGAAGGCCUUCGGGUUGUAAAGUACUUUCAGCGGGGAGGAAGGGAGUAAAGUUAAUACCUUUGCUCAUUGACGUUACCCGCAGAAGAAGCACCGGCUAACUCCGUG